UACGGAGGGUGCAAGCGUUAUCCGGAUUCACUGGGUUUAAAGGGUGCGUAGGCGGAUAGGUAAGUCCGUGGUGAAAUCCUGCAGCUUAACUGCAGAACUGCCAUGGAUACUACUUAUCUUGAAUAUCGUGGAGGUUAGCGGAAUAUGUCAUGUAGCGGUGAAAUGCUUAGAUAUGACAUAGAACACCCAUUGCGAAGGCAGCUAACUACGCGAUAAUUGACGCUGAUGCACGAAAGCGUGGGGAUCAAACAGG
rnacentral:rRNA from 1 species